rnacentral:pre_miRNA from 1 species
AGCCAGCACAGACUGGCAUGGACCAGCCGGCUCUGGGCAAGUAUCUCUUUGAGCAGCUCACUCUCAAGCAUGAUUAGGAGG